rnacentral:piRNA from 1 species
UGACCAGCUCUCUUCUUGGCCAACUUUGCGC